rnacentral:rRNA from 1 species
GAUGAACGCCGGCGGCGUGCCUAAUACAUGCCAGUCGAACGAAACUUCUUUAUCACCGAGUGCUUGCACUCACCGAUAAAGAGUUGAGUGGCGAACGGGUGAGUAACACGUGGGCAACCUGCCCAAAAGAGGGGGAUAACACUUGGAAACAGGUGCUAAUACCGCAUAACCAUAGUUACCGCAUGGUAACUAUGUAAAAGGUGGCUAUACUACCGCUUUUGGAUGGGCCCGCGGCGCAUUAGCUAGUUGGUAGGGUAAAGGCUUACCAAGGCAAUGAUGCGUAGCCGAAUUGAGAGGUUGAUCGGCCACAUUGGGACUGAGACACGGCCCAAACUCCUACGGGAGGCAGCAGUAGGGAAUCUUCCACAAUGGGCGAAAGCCUGAUGGAGCAACGCCGCGUGGGUGAAGAAGGUCUUCGGAUCGUAAAACCCUGUUGUUAGAGAAGAAAGUGCGUGAGAGUAACUGUUCACGUUUCGACGGUAUCUAACCAGAAAGCCACGGCUAACUACGUG